rnacentral:rRNA from 2 species
UACGAAGGGAGCUAGCGUUGUUCGGAAUUACUGGGCGUAAAGGGCGCGUAGGCGGCUUGGCAAGUUGGAUGUGAAAGCCCAGGGCUCAACCCUGGAAUUGCAUUCAAGACUGCCUUGCUUGAAUUCGGUAGAGGUUGGUGGAAUUCCCAGUGUAGAGGUGAAAUUCGUAGAGAUUGGGAAGAACACCCGUGGCGAAGGCGGCCAACUGGACCGACAUUGACGCUGAGGCGCGAAAGCGUGGGGAUCAAACAGG